GGAAGUGAUGUCACUGUGGGAACCGCCCUGUGGAGACAAGGACGUCCCUCAUCCUCUGCUCCUGCUCAUAGUGACACUGACCUGGUAAAACCCCCGUCCUGGCCUGACCCUGCCAUGGGCACCAGGCUCCUCUGCUGGGUGGUCCUGGGUUUCCUAGGGACAGAUCACACAGGUGCUGGAGUCUCCCAGUCCCCAAGGUACAAAGUCGCAAAGAGGGGACGGGAUGUAGCUCUCAGGUGUGAUUCAAUUUCAGGUCAUGUAACCCUUUAUUGGUACCGACAGACCCUGGGGCAGGGCUCAGAGGUUCUGACUUACUUCCGGAGUGAUGCUCAACGAGACAAAUCAGGGCGGCCCAGUGGUCGGUUCUCUGCAGAGAGGCCUGAGAGAUCCGUCUCCACUCUGAAGAUCCAGCGCACAGAGCAGGGGGACUCAGCUGUGUAUCUCUGUGCCAGCAGCUUAGCCACAGCGUGGCACAGUCGCCUCCUUUCUGCUCACAAAUCUCAUCCUUCUCUCUCCUUGCAGCUCCUACAAACCCUUAACAGAGGCCUCUCUUUGCUCCUUACUUUUCAUGGGAAAAAGGUAGAUUUGGACCUCAGCUGUCCUUUGGGUAGAAAGAGACCGCAGAUUCAUUCCUGAAACACAGUGACUGCAAAUGUAGGUGGUGAAAACAAUCAUGGGAGUCCUCCGAGCCAGCUCACUGCUCCAAGCAAGGAGUCAGUGUCUUAGCCUUGGCCUUCAGGGCAGACAUGCAUCUUCUAUAGGUCUUGGAGGCUGCUGUGCUGCCCACAUCCAUGAGGUUGUCAUAGGCAGGAAACACGCCUCUUCUUCAUAUGUUGGAGCAUUUGGAAGGUCUGAGGCUACAUCCCCAGGAACAUCUUUCUUCUGAAGCCUGUUCUACCCCUGUCACCUUGAAAGUUUCUGCAACAAAAUAUCAAACAUCUCUUCCUAUAAAGUAAACGUCUUUGCAAAUUUGUGGUCCUUAUUAAUAAAUACAAUGGUGAUAACAAUAAGACUUCACUUCUUCUGCCUACUUUAAGCCACGUGUAUCCUUUAUUUUGUUUGCAUUUGCCAUUGCUACUGUCCUGAUAGACAGAAGCAUGCAUUCACCACCGCUGCCCGUUCACCUUGAUUCCCUCAGGAAAUCUAAUUUCUAGACUCUGAGGGUUUUCAUUGCUGUCAAACUCAUUUGAUUUGAAAUCAUUUUCCUGAGGCCUUUAACUCAAGAAGUGUUUUAUUUAUAAUAUUGAAUAUAUUUCUUUUUCUUUUAUUUUGCAUAUUAUAUUUUAUUAUAUAGUACUUGUUAUAAAUAGAAGUACAAUGAUUAUAUUGUAACAGAAUCUUCAACUCGUCUGUGGGUGCUGCUGCAGUUUGUAUCUAUGAAAGCGAAUGCACUGGUCAGAGCUGAUGUGAUUAUGGAUCAUGGGUUUCAGGGAGUCUUCGGCAUCAGACCACUUCUCCAAGUCUGGGACUCAGUGUCCCAGACGCAGCCAUGAUAGAGGUGCCCUGAGUCUUUCAUAGCUAGGAGGGGCAUCAUAGCCCUCCCAAAUUCUCUGAUCAGAAAUUGUGGUGGUACAGACACCAAAUUUCUUUCCCCAGAGAAUGAUGAUCUCUGGUAGGGAGCUGCUCUAGACCCAUUUUUUAUUGUGCCAUCAUCAAAUCAUUCCUUGCUCAGGUACCCUCUGUCUCCUGGGACUGAGUAAGGCCAGGGCACACAUGGGAAUUCCUUGUCUUCCUAGACCUUGUCUCUAACUGCUGCCACCUUCCUCCACGUGACUCCUGAGACACCUGCUCCUAACAGUGGACAAGCUCUGACACUGAGGCUGAACAGAACACAGUCCACAAUUGUAAACGGUGCUGCAACAAGAUGAAACAAAAGCAAUCAGGACUUCCAACUUAUACAGAGAAUGAACAUAGAAGAGUAGCAAAGGGCAGAUAUUACUAAUGAACAAAUAGGAAGGAAUCAGUUUCUGCUCUAAUGAAAUCAUUCUGUUGUCUUGAGUUAAGCAGGAUAAACAUUUCAUUGCAAUUACUUCAAGUCAAAUGUAGCAGCUCCACAACCAACCAGCAUAGCUAUCUGCUUUGUGAUCUUGGCAGCUACAAAGGACUCAGAAAUCCUUUCUCUGCACAAACAUCCCUUUGUCCAUUCCAAGACCCAGGAUCACACACUGAUCCUAUCAUGAAAACAAUGAGGUGUGCUAUAGUUGCUGUGGCCUCAUUUUUUGUGUGUUGAGUAGGAAGCACUGAAGAACUUUGAAAGCUUUGCUCUUGAGUCUAGGGAUGUGCUGGAGCCGGCUUGUAUGAGUCAGAAGAACCAAAUAGGCAUACUACUCUUCCCAGCUCCCAAGCAGUGAAGCCAUGUUGGCCACUUGAAAUCUACCAUGGUGGGUAUGCUGGUACAACUGAAAUUAGGAAAUGCUACCAGCCAUGCCCCCACCUUCACAGACACCCAGUUUAUCAGCACAUCCCUGGGGUAUUUUCUGAUGUCCCUGUUAUGCCAUGUCUUGUGGGGCCAAAAGGGCUCAGAAUUCACCUCCCCUCUACUCUUGUUCUUAGAAGCCAUCACCUAAGGGGGCCUCGAUUGUUCCUAUUUCUAUUCAACCUCCAGAUUCUCUUGCUCUGUAAUUCUGUGUCUCCUGCAAGCAUGCCAGUCUGGAACAUGACAACUAUUUUGAAUGUAACUAAAGGUAUCACUGAACCAGUUCAUUAUUUACAAAUUAUCUUUCCUCGCAUAGAAUAUUCAGAUGCUGGAGUCAUGGGCAACAGAGAUGGCCAAGUAGCAACUAUUCUUCUGUGGCAACGAGAGACCCUGUAAAAAGGACAAUUUUGCUUUGGAGACUAAGCAGCUCCACACCAGUCAGGAAUGACUCUGCUUUUACUUUAGGCUGAGAGGUCAGAAGGGUCAUGCCCUCAGUAUUCUCCUUUCCAAGACGGAGUAUGGCCACUCUCCAUCUCAGUCCCUGGAAGGUGUCCGGAGCUCCCUGAGAAUCCCUGCUCUGGGGCAGAAUCACCAAGGCUCAUCCUCGCCAGCUCCCCACAGGCUCCAGCAGGGCUUUCUUGCCAGGUGCAGGGCACAGGAAUGGCUCUGUCUGUCUCUUAGUUAGAGGGAGGCCAUGCAAUGAUGUUUGUAUAAGAGGGACUGGGAUUCUGGGUCUCCAUUAAAGUAUUUGAUAAUAUUUUCUUUGUUUUUUGUUUUAUUUUGCCAUCUCACCAAUUAGGAGAGCAAUCCCUUGGUAGUUAUAUUGUUUUUGCACUUGGUAAGGUUUUUGUGGUUAAGUCACAUUAAGAAAAUGUGCCUUUUUUUUCCUGUUCUGAUAUAAUCCAAGGUAGUGACAGAAACAGCAAUAAUUUUGAAAGCAGUCACUUAUGCAUCCUAUGAUAAAGGUGUUAAGUUACAUUGCCCUCAUCUAACUUUCAGUCUAGUGGAAAUGAAAAGGCACAGUUAGGGGGCAUGUGAGCAUGCCCUGAGAGAGGUCGAUGCCAAUUGAGAAGUCUGUGCCAAUCCCCAGUAUUGUGGGAUUGAAGGGUAUGGAGAGAUGACCUCUCCUUCAGAUCAUACUCAACAAGGAGGGAGUGGGAGUUCAUCCAUGGGAACCUGAGGAGAAGCAAAUACCAGGGUCAUCUAACUCAGGGUGCGGGAACAAAUCAUUGGAAAUGAAAAUGGUCCACUUCAGCUGUCACAGGAGAUGGGAGAAAGAAAAGUCAUACAUUCCACAGUCCCCCUGCUGAUUUGCUUCCUUAUGAUAGUAUUUUGCACCAGCGUGUCCUCAUCUCCCGCUGCUCCUCUGCCUGUUUCAGAAUCAUCUCUUCCCUCUUUGCUGCUCAGAUCAGUGGAUGUGCAUUGUACAAGCUGAUCAUUUCCUGUAGCAGCCCCUUUGCUGGUCUUACUUAUGUCCAUCCUUAUUUUGUGCAUUAGGUACUGCUCCCUCCACCAUUGCUUAUUUCCUUGUAAGAGGUCUCCUUUAUAUAUUUCAAUUUUACUUUUUAUUAAUAGACAUUUUUAACUUCAUCUUUUGCUUAUCUAUGCUUUUGGGGUAACACUGUCAUUUUUGGAGGGCAUUUUUGUUUAUCUUUAGUCAUUCAGAUUAAAUAAUCUCUUCAUACCUCAACGUCUGUGUUUUCUUACUAUUUAAAACCAAGUAUUAUUUCCUUUCAUUCCUCUCCUUCUGUUCCUCUUUCUUUAGAUGGUAGUUUUAAGGGAGAAAAAGUUAGACUAUAACUGGAGCUAUGUGAUAAGAGUUAUUCAGAAUGAGGGUGGGAUAUUAAGAUUGGUAACUCAAAGCAAUAGUCAGGGUUAGAAGUAGUGCUGGGAUGAGGGUUUAGGGAAGCUGGUCAUAAAACCUGCGGGAUGGCACUUCUGGAAUAUUCUGGCAGCUCGCUCUGUAGACACUUCUCAGCAUUCCUUGGGCCAUUGCAGAAGAAACAAUGAUGAAACUUCACUUAUUGGCCACAAGAUGGCACUGUGGUCCACUGGGAACUAAAGUACUCUGGGCAGUCUGGGAGAGCAGCCUAGGAGGGAAAGGGUUAAGAAAAAUUCGGGCUUGGAUCCCAUAUUAUGCAGAUGUUGCAGCAGUUUUCAGUUAUUGCUAGGCUACCCACAGCUAUGCAAGAGGCGAGAAGUCCCUCUAAUCUUUAAUGACAUCUACAGUUGAAGAAUGUUGGCUGGGCAGCCUUGGUGUCAGAGCAGGUGCAGACAGAGGAGCAACUGCCUCAGAGGAAAAGGCGAAAGCAAGGGGCCGGCUGUGCCCUGAAUCCAGUCCAUCUCUGCUGCACCUCAUCUUCCCUGCAUGUCUCGCCAGGCAACAGCUUUAACCUCCUUGAGUGAUCAGGGAUUCUGCAAGUUUAUAAGUCGUACUGAUAACAUCACCUUGGCUUAGAUUCCAUUGGAUACCAAGCACGUGUUCUCUGGAGGGCAAAAAAUAUUGACAACAAUUUCUAAAACACCUAAGUAAACAAACUACAGAAGGAAAAUAUUAGUAGAUGCACCAAACAGUGCCGUUAGACCUGAAGAUAAUCGACGAGUAGAAUUAUCAAAAGGAGACUAUAAAUAAGUCUCUACUAAGUAUUUGUGGGCAUCGAGCAGUGUUUGAGUCCUCUCAGGGUAGAUUAAGGAAGGAAUUCAGCUAUUAUCAUGACUUUGGCUUGGAUGAAAAUUCAUGAACUCCCCAAUUGAUUUUCUUGUAAAGUAUUACAGAAUAAUAUUGAGCAAACAUUUUAUUUUUCUCCAGCCUGUAUCCCUCCUUAGCACUAACAGGUAAAGCGAAUACCUAGAGGCAAGGUUUCUUUAGUUGGGAUCCAUUAACUGCAGGACUGGGAGGUCCAUAGCUAGGCUUCACAGGGAGUGCAAACCCCACGGGCAGGGAACCCCAUGUGUCUGUGCUGUGCCCAACUCCCCUCUGUGAGGCUGCCAAAGGGGGACUGCCGGGUCUCCCAGGACCCCACUCAUAAAGAGGGGAGCAAGCUGCUUGCUGGGCAAAAAAAUCACUUCACCAAUUGGCCAAUCUGUUGAAAGCCAGAAAGAAAAGAAACGUUCAAUUGUGAGACUGAUGAAUGCCCAAUUUCCCAAGUUAUAAAAUGUAUAGCAGCUCAUGGUUCUCAGAAUGAUUUCAACAGCAUAUGAAGAUAUUUUUAGAAAGUUUUUGUUUUUCUAAAGCAUUCCUUGAUAUUGAUCCUCACUUGUUUUUCAGCCCACUCAUCCAUUGAGCUUAAUUUGAUGCCAAAUUUCAGUGUUGCCUAUUUCAGUCACUGACCACUUCUCACAUUCUCCAUAUCUUACACAGAUGCAUGUGUUCCUGUCUUUUCUUCUUUUUGUGUGAUGCAUUUUUAAAUUGGGCUGUACAGAAUACAAGCAUACAUUUGUAAAUGACUGCCAUCUUUUAUGCAGUUUAGCUGUUUAAUUUUUAGUAACACUUUUUAUUAAGGUAUAAUUAAUAGAGAGUAAAACACAAAUAUUAAUACAAAAACAUCCUGGUACAUUUUGACAAUUGUAUACACCAGUGCAACAGUAACUGAAAUGAUUAUAAAAAAAAUUUCCAUCACUCAAGAAAGUGUCCUCAUGCUCCUUUCCAAUCAAUUUCUAUCCCAGAGAUAAAAACUUUUCUGUUUUUAUCACCAUUGACUAGCUUUGUCUAUUCUUCAGCUUCAUAUAAAUGGAAUCAUAUUUUAUUAGUUAUUUUUCUCCAAAAUUAGUAUUUCUGAAGUGUAUUCAUAUUGUUGUAUCAGUAGGUCAUUCUUUCUUAUGACUAAUAUUCCAUUGCAUAAAUACACCACAAAUUUUUUGUGCAUUCUCUUGUUGAUGGAUAUCCAUGUUAUUCCUGUCUUCAACUAUUAUGAAUAAAGUUGUUGUGAACAUUCUUGUGGAAUUCUUUCUUUUGGACAUAUGCAUUCUUUUUUCUUCUUUUAAAACCUACACUUAAGAGUGGAAAUACUGACUCAUAGUGUAGAUGUGUGUGCUAUGCUUGCGUGUCCCCACAAAAGCUCAUGUUGAAAUUUGUCAGUGUAAUGGUAUUGGGAAGUGGGACAGCUAUGACUAGGUCAUGAGGGAUCUGCCCUCAGAAAGAAAUCAAUGCCCUUAUUGGGGGAGUGACUUAGUUUUCCUGGGAAUGGUCUUCCAAUAAAAAGGAUGAAUUCAGCUGUUUUCUCUGUCUUAAGUGCUUGCUUCACCUUCCUUCUGCCUUGGAUAACAGCAGGAGGACCUCACCAGCUGUGGCCCUUUGAUCUUGGACUUCCCAGUCUCCACAUCUAUAAGCCAAAUAAACCUCUUGUCUUUAUACAUUGCCCAGUCCAUGGUAUUUCUCUAUAGCAGUAGGAAAGAAAUUGAAAGAAAAUAUGGCACCAUGAGGCUGUUGUUAUAAUACCUGAAAAUGUAGAAGCAGCUUUGGUUAAUGGGAAGUGGCUAAUGGAUAGAGGUUGAAAGAAUUGGGAGGAGCAGACUAGCAAAAGCCUAGACUCCUGAAAACAGAGCAUUAAGGGCAAUUCUGGUGAAGUCUCAGGGGGAAAUGAGGGACAAGCUAUCUGAAAUUGAAGCAAAUACCAUCCUUGUUAUAAAUAGCAAAAACCUUGGCAAAAUUGUGUCCUGUUCUAGGACUUUAUGGAAUAUAAAAUUAUGAGCCAUUCACUAGGAUAUCAACUGAAAGAAAUAUCUAAGCGGCAAAGCAUUCAGGCUACUGUGUGACUACUUUCGGGCACCAGGAAAUUUCACCCAGCAAGAAGGGAGCCAUGGCAAUAGAUUUUGCAAACCAGCACAGAUGGUGACCCUACCUCCCUCUGCUGUCCCGUCUCCAAUAAGACAAACCCUGUGCUGUGAGCUCUUAAAAUCCUAGAAUUAUUUCUGGGGAAUCUAUACUCUUAAUAAUUUAUAGACAACCCAGGUCUGCUUUGGAUCUGAUCAGACGGACUAAAUCUUGGGGACUCUGCACCACUGGCCACUGAAGAAAGGGGCUGGGAAUGUUGACUGGGACAGGAAAAUAUAAUAAGAAACAUUGGUGUGAAUCUAGCAUCAGAAAGAUGAUGUGAGGACAACAAGGAAGAGCUGGAAUGUGAGAGUUUAAUCACAGGCUCCUCACCCUCCGCUGAUGGGUAGGUGUGUUAGCUCCAGCAUGGAGCACCACCGCACUAGGUGGGGGAAGGGUGAGAGGGCGAUGGGGCAGCCUGUGAGCUGGGGCAAUGUAGGCAGAGGAGCAACUGUGUCACCACAGAAACUUCUGCCUUCACCCAUCCCUCCAGCUCUGCAGGACAGGUGGAGACUCCAGGAUCAUCCACUGAGCACUGGACAUAAGGAAGGCUGCAUGGGGAGGACUCAGGACAGUGACAUCACAGGAUACACCUCCCAUUAGGAAAAUCAAGGCGCAGAACUCACUCGGCUCUUCCCCAGGAGGACCAAGCCCUGAAUCAGGU